GGGUUAGUAGGUUGGUCAUGCCUCUGGUAUGUACUGGUCUCACUGAUUCCUCCUUCCUGAUGAACCGUAAUGCCAUUAAUUUGGUGUUGCGGGGAAUUUGGACUGUUACUUUGAAAAAAUUAGAGUGUUCAAAGCAGGCAUUUGCUCGGAUACAUUAGCAUGGAAUAAUGAAAUAGGACGUUCGAUCCUAUUUUGUUGGUUUCUAGGAUUGACGUAAUGAUUAAUAGGGAUAGUUG
rnacentral:rRNA from 2 species